GGGCCCGCACAAGCGGUGGAGCAUGUGGUUUAAUUCGAUGAUACGCGAGGAACCUUACCAGGGCUUAAAUGGGAAAUGACAGGGGCAGAGACGCCCCCCUUCUUCGGACAUUUUUCAAGGUGCUGCAUGGUUGUCGUCAGCUCGUGCCGUGAGGUGUCAGGUUAAGUCCUAUAACGAGCGCAACCCCUACCGUUAGUUGCCAGCGAGUCAUGUCGGGGACUCUAACGGGACUGCCGGUGCAAACCGUGAGGAAGGUGGGGACGACGUCAAAUCAUCACGGCCCUUACGUCCUGGGCCACACACGUGCUACAAUGGUAGGUACAGAGGGAAGCCACCUCGUGAGAGGGGAGCGGAUCUAUAAAACCCUAUCUCAGUUCGGAUCGGAGUCUGCAACUCGACUCCAUG
rnacentral:rRNA from 1 species